ensembl:lncRNA LINC03004 long intergenic non-protein coding RNA 3004
GGGGAGUUUUCCUCUUCCUUGGAUUCCAGGAGAUAUGUUAAUAUUCUUUUAAUAAAUGCCUUUUUUGUGUAGAAAUGCUUGUUUGGUUUCUGAUAGUUGUAACCUAAAAAAUCUUUAGUAAGCCAUUGGUCUGCUGUGGGGAGCGUCGAGAUGAAACUGGAACGUUGUUUGAACCUAGAUCAUAAAGUGACUCCAACAUCUUCAUACCAGGGAGAGGAGGAAGCUGUGCUGUGAAGGAUCCUUUUUCAUCAUGAUUAUUGCAUCCACAGAAGCAGUGAUAAAUUCUAACAGAUAAUGCAACUCAGUCUACUUGGAUGUUCACACCUGAGACUGGAGAAGACCUGCUGCCUUCUGCAGAGCCAAACAUUCCUCACAUGCUCCUCCACAAUGCUCCUUACACUGGUCUACCUAAAGAAAACCUCUACAGACAAAGGAGAUGAGCCCAGCAUGGCUUGUUUACAGUGAAUCUAAGCAGAUUCCUCAUCUGUUCUGGGAUACGUGCGUCGAGAUUGCCAGACUGUGGUCUAGUUUAAAUGUCUGACACUCUUCAGAAGACAUAGUCUUUUUUACUCAAGAUUCUCAAGGAAGCAAUGUGGUGAUGGAAGAGGCCUGGACUCUUGAGUCAGGGCUUUGCUCUAAACCUGCACCUGCUAAAACUAGCUGAGUGACCUAAGGCCAGUUACUUAAUGUCUCUGAGGCUAGGUGGAAAUACUGAUGCAUUCCCUCACACAGUCAUUGAGAUGAAUAAAUACAGUGGUAUGUU